CUCUCACGUACAAUGUGCAGUGGCCUGUGCCCGGUUGCAUAAAACACCGAGGAGAGCAUCCACUCUAUUGAGAGAAAACUACACGAAACUCCAAGACAGUGCUCUUGAAGGCAUUGCCUUCAACUGAGGCCAUCUGAAAAGUCUGGAGUCGCCGUGAGGAUGCCGGGACGCCGGGAGCCCAGAAGAAGGUCCUGAAAUUGGGGAGCGGGGAGGCUGUGAGGAUCGGCUGAUGGGACCAAUUGAUGGAAUUUCUGAAACUGAAACCAAGAGAGAGCGUCAGCUACAGGAUUGAGAAGACCAGACACAUGAGCUGCUUUAAAGAGAAAGUUACUGUUAAUAGAUAACCAAGUGAGGUGGCGGAGCAAGCUAUUCCUGAGUGCUGUUAUGGAUCGUCCGUUAUUGAUAAUGGAUACAGUACAUUGGUUGUCACAGUGGAAGAUGAUGGAAUUUCUUGACCAUCAGUGGCCCAAGAUGGAAGCAGCUGAGACUAUAGGAUAGAGCUCAUGUAGAGCAGAGGAACGUUGUUGAGGAGGGAGAUCCCGGAUUGGAGCUGGCCAGGCUGCUGAAAACCAGGAAAAGUUGAACACGCCCCCAAAUCCUAAUGAUGAUGCGUCUGUGUACAGAUGGAGCGCAACUGAUGAGAUCAUUGUUAUUUUAAGAUGAUUUAGACGAUUUGAAAUGCCUCUUAUUUGGAAUGCUCUUUGAUCCGAUUCGAGAGCUUCGCCUUGCAGGAGUUGUUAUUAAAGGGGAGAUGCGAGAGCUGAAACCUAACGCUGGUAAGCGAGCUCCUGCGCUGCAUUGACAGAAGUGGCAGGUGAAACACAGCGAUGCAAUCCAGUUGACGGGAAUCUGGAGGUUCCAGGGAGCUUUGAGCUGUGAGAGCCUAACCCUAUCGCUGGUAAGCGAGCUCCUGCAUUGACAGAAGUGGAAGGUGAAGCAGAGCGAUGCGAUCCGGUUGACGGGAGUCUGGAGGUUCCAGGGAGCUUUGAGCUGUGAGAGCCUAACCCUAUCGCUGGCACCUACAUGAAGACCUGCCAAGUUUCCCCUGAACUAAAUGGACCUGCGAGAAACCUUGCACACCUCAGCCUGUACAGCGUGGUGUGGCAGCUGUCAGCCUGCAGCACUGGCGAAGUUAAACAGGCCUCAAGCACACAGCGCCAGUAAUGCAGGGCGACCUCGACGCUCGCCAUCUUCCAGAGCAGAGAGACACUCAGCUGCUGUGGGGAAGUGGUUCUAACAGCAUGCCACACUGUUCACAUCACUUUGUAUUAGCUGGCACCGUCCAUCACACAAGGGAGCACGUCUCCCUUGUCUUUUCUGGUUGGCCUUUCAAAGGGAGAAUGCUGCCGUUGUUUUCAUGUCCCGUUCUGAGACGUUACAACACCCAACAUGCUCACUGGUGGCAGGAUGCUUUUAUUAACCUUUCAUUUCCAGCUGCUGCGCUGCGUUUAAACAUGACAGAACCAGUUAGGAUUUCUGAGGUUUCUCAGGAAUCAGGUGUACAACCCAGGCAGGGUUUGUCUUGGAAAUGUGUGGCGAAGAAAUUUCUGUUUGUAAUUCAUCUUUUUAUUUGAUUCCUUUUCUCAAGGAAGUGUGUGUUUAAGAAAUAAACUGGAUCUAAUUGUA